AUUGAAACACCAAUUCUCAUACAAUCACUGAAGCUAAGCAAUGUCGAGCCUGGUCAGUACAUAGAUGAGUGACCAGUUGGGAAUACCAAGUGCU